CGAGCUUUAAAGUAUUCUAGUUCCUGAAGGCAGCCGAGGUGCAGCCGUGCGAGCGGAGCUAGUCGCUUUAUGGCGUAAGAUGUAGGUGCACAGUCAUUUCUGUAGCCUACGGAUGCGCCAUUCCUUGGUGGAUUUAUUGGAAUGUUUCGGGUCAUUGUCAUGCUGCAAGGUCCACUUUCGGUUGAGCUUUAAGCUUCUAACAGAUGGUCUCAUAUUGUCCUUAAGCAACCUCUGAUACCACCCUGAGGAGACUCCAAAAAGCUGCACAAAUGCAGAGCAGAUGUUUCAUAUUGUAUGGGGACUAUCAGAGUCACCCUCAU